UACGGAGGGGGCUAGCGUUGUUCGGAAUUACUGGGCGUAAAGCGCACGUAGGCGGCUUUGUAAGCCAGGUGUGAAAUCCCCGGGCUCAACCUGGGAAUGGCAUUUGGGACUGCAAGGCUGGAGUGCGGCAGAGGAGACUGGAAUUCCUGGUGUAGCAGUGAAAUGCGUAGAUAUCAGGAGGAACACCGAUGGCGAAGGCAGGUCUCUGGGCUGACACUGACGCUCAUGCACGAAAGCGUGGGGAGCAAACAGG
rnacentral:rRNA from 1 species